rnacentral:rRNA from 1 species
AGAGUUUGAUCCUGGCUCAGGACGAACGCUGGCGGCGCGCCUAACACAUGCAAGUCGAACGGAGUUAUUUUCUUCACUCCGAGCUUUUUGCCAGUUAGCCGGAGCGGCAAUCGGUUUUGCCCAGCAUAAAAAGCAAAACCGAUUUAGGCUCAUAAAGUAAGACUAACACAGAGGGCAGAGAGUUGGGAGUGAAGAAAAUAACUUAGUGGCGAACGGGUGAGUAACGCGUGAGUAACCUGCCCUGGAGUGGGGGACAACAGUUGGAAACGACUGCUAAUACCGCAUAAGCCCACGGCCCGGCAUCGGGCUGAGGGAAAAGGAUUUAUUCGCUUCAGGAUGGACUCGCGUCCAAUUAGCUAGUUGGUGAGGUAACGGCCCACCAAGGCGACGAUUGGUAGCCGGACUGAGAGGUUGAACGGCCACAUUGGGACUGAGACACGGCCCAGACUCCUACGGGAGGCAGUAGUGGGGGAUAUUGCACAAUGGGGGAAACCCUGAUGCAGCGACGCCGCGUGGAGGAAGAAGGUUUUCGGAUUGUAAACUCCUGUCGUUAGGGACGAUAAUGACGGUACCUAACAAGAAAGCACCGGCUAACUACGUGCCAGCAGCCGCGGUAAAACGUAGGGUGCAAGCGUUGUCCGGAAUUACUGGGUGUAAAGGGAGCGCAGGCGGACCGGCAAGUUGGAAGUGAAAACUAUGGGCUCAACCCAUAAAUUGCUUUCAAAACUGCUGGCCUUGAGUAGUGCAGAGGUAGGUGGAAUUCCCGGUGUAGCGGUGGAAUGCGUAGAUAUCGGGAGGAACACCAGUGGCGAAGGCGACCUACUGGGCACCAACUGACGCUGAGGCUCGAAAGCAUGGGUAGCAAACAGGAUUAGAUACCCUGGUAGUCCAUGCCGUAAACGAUGAUUACUAGGUGUUGGAGGAUUGACCCCUUCAGUGCCGCAGUU